UGUAGUUGCGAUGAGGAUAAUAAGCUCCCUCUUUUGAAAGCAUUGAUGACAUCGCCGGCAAAAUCGAACCAACUAAAUAUUGCCACAACUCAGCAA